AUUGAACGCUGGCGGCAGGCCUAACACAUGCAAGUCGGACGGUAGCACAGAGGAGCUUGCUCCUCGGGUGACGAGUGGCGGACGGGUGAGUAAUGUCUGGGGAUCUGCCCGAUAGAGGGGGAUAACCACUGGAAACGGUGGCUAAUACCGCAUAACGUCGCAAGACCAAAGAGGGGAACCUUCGGGCCUCUCACUAUCGGAUGAACCCAGAUGGGAUUAGCUAGGAGGCGGGGUAAUGGCCCACCUAGGCGACGAUCCCUAGCUGGUCUGAGAGGAUGACCAGCCACACUGGAACUGAGACACGGUCCAGACUCCUACGGGAGGCAGCAGUGGGGAAUAUUGCACAAUGGGCGCAAGCCUGAUGCAGCCAUGCCGCGUGUAUGAAGAAGGCCUUCGGGUUGUAAAGUACUUUCAGCGGGGAGGAAGGCGGUGAGGUUAAUAACCUCACCGAUUGACGUUACCCGCAGAAGAAGCACCGGCUAACUCCGUGCCAGCCGCCGCCGUAA
rnacentral:rRNA from 1 species